ACAGGUGCUUUUGGUCCUUGUGCAGUAGUUGAACCUACCAUCAUCUGAGACACUGCUGAAUGUGGAAACUCUAUGCUCCUACAGAUUCUACGUCUUUUUCAACAGUUUCAUCAGGAAAUCGCACCUACGCAGGUAUGCUGCCCUUAUGUAUUUACCGUUUUCCUCCUCUUCUUUCUCUGCCCCAGUAUUCUUGCUCAUCUGCCCUAAGUCAGCCAAUAACUCAACCUCAGAGCUAUCAAGUCUCUGCACGCUUUGUGAAAGCAUUUAUAUAGGGAGAAAACAAAAUUUGUAUCAUCCCUGAGUGAAAGGUAAAUAUUCUCAUGGUUUAGUAAAAGAGAAUCCAGCUGGGGCACUGGCUAGGCUCUAGGCAUUGUUAUUUUUCUGGGUACCACAUUUGAAUACUGCAUUUGAAAAUAACACUUUGUCAAAUAUUUUCUGGCAUGUUUGCUAUUAAUAUAAACAGUACCUGAAGUUUCCAGCCCUAGUUCCCAGGACGUUUGUACUAGAGCUGUAGCCAAUAAGUUCUUAGCAUUGCUAAAAACCAGCACUAAUUCCAAAUUGGUACAUUGUUGGAAUUUAUAUUCCCUGUCUUUCCUAACUCCAUUCUCAUAGCAUAAACACUGCCUAGAUGUUAAGUGAAAGAUUCUCAGUAUUUCUGCUUGAGCAUACCUGAUUGAUAUGCAGCUUCUGCUGCCAUCUCUGAAAGACGUAAUGCUGUCAUCCAGCUGGAUUCUAGCUUUAGGUAUUCUUGCUGUUUUGUUGUCAUCUAGGAGUAAAAUGAAGAAUUAUUCAAUUUGAUAUGAGAACAUCUGAGUGCUGUUCUAAACAGUACCUCUGUGAAAAGGUGAGCAAGUGAGAAUACAGCUUUUUGAGAAAAGCUGAAGAGGGAAAUUCCUGACUGUGAUACAAGUUGUAGCUAGUUAAGUUCCUUAAUGGACAACCCUAUAGUUUGUUUAGAAAACGGGAAGGAUCUGUGUCUUUGUAUGGAACAGAUAAGGCAUGUGCAGGAGACUCUGUAUGGAAUAGUUAAGGGAGGUUCCACCAGACAUUGUAUGUGAACAGAUAAGGUUCCAGGACUCUUUGUAUGGAAUGUGGAUGUACCUCCAGGAAGACCUGUUCAGAGGAAGACCUCUGAACAUAUAUCAACUGAAGGCCUUUUUGUGCAAAGUAUGUGUGAUAGGAGGGGAGUAUCUGCCACGCAUCCAGUGCUGUUAGUAAAGAAUUCCUACUUUCUAACACUCCGACUUGAGUCUUAGAGAGUUUCUUGAUUGACUGCUUUAUGGUAACAACUGAAGGGAGAUGAUGGCUUACAUCCACUCUGGCUCCUAUUACCACCUGCCAGACUGCAUCCACUUCAUCUGAGUUCAUCUUCCCAAGAAGAUUUGUGUAUUGCUUGUAGAGAGACACCAACGUAUAAACUGCCUGCAAAGGGAUUGUUUCACACAGUUAUAUUAAAAUCUAUAGAUGUUUGCUCACUCUUAACUGGUGUUAAUGAGUCAUAUAAAGCAAGAAAAGAACUAACCUGUCUGUAUUUAAUCUCCAGUAUAUGCAGUGGGUAACAAAAUCGUUGAAUACUUCCCAAGGUGCUUUGCUCUUAAGUUUGCUGUUAAACACGUUGAAAAAAGGAGUAUACUCUGACUCGAGCACCAGAACUUUGAUGCUCCAAGAGUGCACAUCAUUAUGGGCUUCUCAGAAUUCCUGAUUUCCUACUCUGAAAGCCCACUGCUUCCUACCUAUGCUACAGCAGUUCCUUGCAGUACCACAGAAAUACAUUUGUACUGCACAGGAAAAGCAGAAAUAUGUAAAAGUACAUUGUACUAACUUCCACAUUUAGUGCAGUAAGAAUAGUGAGCCCUACUCCAUAACUUCCCAGGGACCCGAAGCAAAGUGCUUAACCUCUCACCUUACCUUUGUAUACUCUGUCAGUGCUUCAAUCAGUGCGUACGUUGUUUGAGAGAGGAGAGUGGAAGUACUGUCUGUUACCAACGUAACGGCUCUCUUAAUCAAGGCAUCGUUACUGAGAGAAGCUGAGUUCUGUUUCUGAAAUACAACAAGUUGGCGUUAUUGUUACAGACUCCCAUUUGUAUAUAAUUGGUAAUUAAUGAUGAUAAAAAAGCACCGCUGCUAAUGACAGGGCUGGAGAGCCUACAGCAAAAUCCUAGCACAAAUUCCUCUGUAAAACAAGGUCACUUCUUUUCCUGCAAUUUGUUACUGAAGGUAAACACUGUGUUUCUCAUCUCUUUUCCUUAACAACCACAUGGCAUCAACCCCUGUCACCCCUAAGGCAGAAUCAAGAUGGUACAACGGAACGGGGCUGCACGUCCGCCGCCGGAGAUCCCUUACCUCUGCGACUGGCACAGCACACAGGGCGGCUCCCAGCCCUGCGCCCACCGCGCGGCGCCACCGCCCGCUCCCACCAGGAAGGCCGCGUCUGCCGGUGCCGGCCAGAGCGGGGAGGCCGUGCCUGGGCAUGCGAGAAACAGUGAGCACAGAAACACCAGAGCAGGGAUCAUCUGCUGCAGCUGGGGGAGGGGACCGUGAACCGGCGAUGUUCUGGAAUAACAGCGAGUGGCCGUACUGGUUAUUAUCGUGACGGCGAGGUAUAAAGGCGAGAAACAACAGCUGGGCGCGGUAAGUGGAAAACGGAGGGGACACGUUUUGUCUUAUCCGGUGCGAACGCAUUGUUAAUGCUCGGUCGCACUGACAAUCGAGGUCUAAGUGUGCUUAAAUUGUUUUCAUUUGUUUUCUGAGAAUAACCGGUCGGUUUUCCUCCCACGCUGCAUGCUCCUAACCCAGGGGGGCACCGCCGCCCCAACCCGGCCGCCCGUAACCGCGGUACCUCAGGAGAGAGCACCAACCCCGCAGCCAGAAGGACCGCGCCGCCAUCUUGGGAGUGGGCGGUACGCCGGAAGUGACGCCAUGCUGGGAGGGUGGUCCGGAUCGGCGCGUGCGCAGAGGGCGGGCACGUGGGGAGGGCGCGAGGCGCGGCCGUUGUGUUAACGGUCGCUGUGAGGGGCGGCGGCGCUGUGAGGCGACCAACGGUCGUUGGCGCCGCGCGGGAACGCUGUUGCCGCGCUCAGCCCUCAGCCUCGCGGCUCGCACAGGCUCGGCUUCCAUCUGCUUUGGUCCACUUCAUCUUUACUUUUCCAGAAGUUGGUGCAGGAGGAAGGAGGUGCCAUCCUGUGUGCUGAGCAGAUGUGUGGGACGAGCUGUGCAGUGGAGCCAGGUGCUUCUGGCCAGCCAAGGACUGCAGGAGCGGGGAAGGAGUUGUCAUUUGAGCACCAAGAAAUACGUCGUCCAGCCAGCAAGCAGCAGUGCUCCCACCAGCACGGUGUAGCUGAACAGCACGAACGCCAGCAGCUCCCGCAGCACCUUGAGGAAGUGGAUUGCAAAGGAGUCCGGCAUCGUUCCCCACAGUACCGCAGUGCAGGUAGGCUGUCUGGGGAUGGCUGCAGCCGUGCUGCUCCCUGCUCUGUGCAAAGGAAAACCAGAAGGAUAGAAUGAGUCUUUCCCAGCAGGAUAGUGGAGCUCUGCUUUAGGGAGAAGCCGUUGUGUUCAGGAGAGUUAACAGCCACCCAUCCUUCUAAGAAAGUUGUUAAUUACUGAGGUUUAAGUGUCACAUUGGACUUGUGCAAGCUUGUUCAGGUCUUUGCAGGGUUAUCAAGCUGUGCAGUGUUGACAAGGAGUUAGGGAUCUGAUCAAAGUCUCUAAAUCAGGACUGGUAUCUAAGCAAAUUAAAAUACAGAUGCAUGUAUGGUGUACUCUGUUGUGCAGGCAUGGAGCAGUGGCCCCAGUUCUGCUAGAUCCCAGUAUCUUUCCCCUAUGUCCAGUGGCUGUGCAUCCAGGAAGCUUCACAUACAGAGCAUUCACUGAUGAUGUAUUACCAACAGUGUGUUCUGAUCAAAGUGGUCAAUGCCUUCAAGGAAGCCACCAUUAAUAUUUAAUGAUAUAAUUGCAUCUUAAUGGAGAUACUGGCACAAACAGAGCCUUUUGUUUAAGAGAGAAGAAAACUGGGGCUUAAAUGCAACUUUGCACAGGCAAAUAUUUCUAUCUAUCUCAGCUUAAAAAUAACCUUCAAAUGGGAGACAUAGGGUAAGACAUUAUAGAAUUCAUCCAUCUGUAUUUUAAAGUCACAGUACCUGCUGAUUUAGAAGUUGCUUGUUUCUUACUUUAAUAUAAAAUCUGAACAUUUCAUGAAAGUUGUUGGCUCCUUAGAUUUAAUGCUGUGAAGCCUGUCUAAAAAUCCUCCUGUCUCGCUGAGUCACCUGUUAUUUUGGUCAGGGCUGUGCCUGAUCUAAGGUAUCCACACUCUUGGUCAAGCACAUAAAGGGAGUCUAAAACCAGAUUUCAGAUAAAGCUAACCUAAAAAGAUUCUUAUCUUCUUAACAGUCUAUAGCCAGCAAAAGCAAAUUGAAUUCCUGUCCUGCCAAUUUGAGAUAUAUUUUUAAGAAGUACUUGUGAUGAAAAAACCACAUUUUGAUUAAAAUUAAGUCACUCUUUUGGUCUUAUUGAAGACCAAAAGUGUUUCCUUCUAAGCUCAGGUGUAUGCAUAUUAUAGGAGCUAUCGCAUUUUAAAACCAGCUGUGGUUCCCAGUUGUUCAAAGUUUCCUAUUUCUAGGCUUUACAUGACUUUUAAUUGUCUAAAGAAAUACUGACAAAGACAUAAACUGCUUACCCAGGUAGAUGAUGGGAUCUGCUUCGAAAAGUUCCUGUUUCUCCCUGGUUUUGUUGUGCUGCUGUCCCUUGAAUUUCUGGCUUCUGGUUUGUGCUGUAGUUUGAUCCCCUUCUGAUCUGCUCAUCCAGGAGCCAGGAGUAAUGAGGUUGUAUUUGCAGCCCACAUGAGGACUAAUGCACUAGGUGUGGUCAGGACCAAUUAUUAUAUGACAGAGCGCCUUGGCGCUGCGCGGCACAGCAGCACGGAGCUCUCCGAAUAGCCCCCCUUCCCCAGAGAGCUUUUGUCUACAGCUUUUUGUGAGUUGAAGCACCGUGGCUUUCCCAGUGUUACCAGUCAGAGCCUCCAUUUGUUUAUAUGUUUUUUUGUUUUUUUUUUUUUCCUUGUAAUGAAGUAUUAUGUCAUCUAAUGCUUUGUAUGCUGCAGCUCAGUUAUCUGGAAGGCUCCUGUUCUCUGAGGGCCCAGUGCUUGUGGGCCACUGCAGGAGUAGGAUGCUUGCAUGUAGCUGGGGAUUGCCCAAGGUCAGCAAUGCAGGUUAGAGCCGUGCACACUGAAUUGCACCCUGCUAUCUAAAGAAAGUGAGCGUUGAAGACAGCGUGAUCUAUACGUGAUCACUGCCUUAUAUUCACCCUUGCACAAACAGAAAGUCCCCCUUGCCUCUGAGAAAGCAAGAGCUACAACUCACUUGUGGUUAUGGGGUGGGAGAGAGUGUAGAUAAUGGCAUCUCAAGAGCAAAGACUCUUCUACAUAAUGUGGAAAGGGCUGACCUCAACCAAGACUGACAACAGAUACGUUACAAGACACCAGCACUUGUGGCAGGUGAGUACUGGGGAUCAUUUUGCGCCACCCAGUACACUGCAGUAAUAGACCUAAAUAGAUUCAGUCUACCUAAACUCAAUAGGGAACUACAUGUUUGUCGUGGCUGCUGAAACCAGGCUGAUGUGUUGUGCAGCUGACAGAACUGACUCCUACCAGCACCUCCUGGAACACAAGCCGAGAUUUCCCAUUAGGAUUUAUACCUGUCAUAGUUGAUUGUCUCUUCUUCAUUGCCAUUGAGGGCUGCUUCACACAUUCUCUGUAUUUUCAAGUUUAAUUCUUCAUUUCUCCUUUGCAGAUCUACUAUCACUGAGUUCAGGAAGUCAAUCUGUGAUAUUAAAGAACAAGCACAGUCAGAAGGUUGAGGACUGCGUGUCCACAGAAAGCAAAUACCACAGGAACGGCCCUCAAAAUGACAGAUGCUAAUAGGUCUCAACCCACCACCAACAGAUCAAGCUCUUUUUCUAAUGUUACUGUUUCAGCACGAAAGCCAGCAGUGUAAUUCUGAUCAGAAGUGCAUCUCCGUUCCUCUGGACCUGCUGCUCAAGUGGGUGCACCAGGGGCUGCCAGGUCACCCCCUGAGCUAUUCCAGAGGUGGCAGCGAGGCAGCACAGUGCACUCACACGGCAUUUCCUGAAGUGGUCCGAGCCACUCAGAGAUCAGCAGACAGCACAGAAGUACUGCUGGCAGUAAUCAAGUAAUGCUUGGCAAAUUAUUGCAAAUAAAAUAAAAGUAAGGCAAGAAGUGGAACAAACCUCUUGCUGAUCAGAAGAAAGCAUUGUCAUCAGCAGGUGGAUUCAGGGAGGGAAAAAAAAAGAAAUUAGUGGUUACUUAAUUGGUUAAUUGCACUGCUUCUGAGCUCUGUACAGACUAUGUCACUAGUAAAGACUGUUAAUCAGUAUGACCAACUCCAGUGAUUUAACAGCGCUGCUAUUCCAACCAUGCAUCCUAGGCCUUUGCUGUCACAGGCAGCCUGUUGCACUGCUUUCUUCUACAUGUCCAUUACAAUUACUGAACCCUUUCAUACAUAUUUUUCCUAAAUCUGUUAGAAUCAUAUGGUAACAGAGCAGCUAGUUUCUACCUCUCGUUCUCCUGCUUGCUUCCUCAUGUUAUUCCAACCAUUGGCAUUUCCCCUCAGAAGCAGAAGGUGAAAACAAAAAGCUGUCUAUCAUAGUCCUGAUUUCCAAAAUCUGCUAAGAACUGUAUUUGGGAAGAUUUCACUCUGCAUACUGCUGUUUUAGCUUGCUGAUGUUUCAGAUCAAAUACCUGUUUAUCUUCUGCACUUUCAUCUUGAAGUAGAUUAGCAGCUAUGUCACCUUUAAAGAGAAACAAAAAAGCAAGGCAUAAACAACCAGUAAUUUGAAGUAUGAAACAUCCAUGGCUUAGUCAGAGACCGAAAAUAGUGGACUAUUGCAUUUUAACUAUGCAUCUAACAACUGCAAAAUCUGCAAGAUUAAAGCUGAAAGCACAGAGAAAUAAAGAAAUUCUCUCUUUUA